rnacentral:rRNA from 1 species
AUUGAACGCUGGCGGCAGGCCUAACACAUGCAAGUCGAGCGAGGGGCGGACGGGGGAGUAAUGUCUGGGGAUCUGCCCGGUGGAGGGGGAUAACUACUGGAAACGGUGGCUAAUACCGCAUCCUAUCGGAUGGACCCAUAUGGGAUUGGCUAGUAGGUGGGGUAAAGGCUCACCUAGGCGACGAGCCCUAGCUGGUCUGAGAGGCUGAUCGGCCGCACUGGGACUGGAACACGGACCAGACGCCUACGGGAGGGAGCAGUGGGGAAUAUUGCACAAUGGGCGCAAGCCUGAUGCAGCCAUGCCGCGUGUAUGAAGAAGGCCUUGGGUUUGUAAAGUACUUUCAGCGGUGAGGCGUUACCCGCAGAAGAAGCACCGGCUAACUCCGUGCCAGCAGCCGCGGUAAUUC